rnacentral:rRNA from 1 species
GCCAUGCGAGUCACAUAGCAAUAUGUGGCAUACGGCUCAGUAACACGUAGUCAACAUGCCCAGGGGACGUGGAUAACCUCGGGAAACUGAGGAUAAACCGCGAUAGGUCAUUUCUUCUGGAAUGGGUAAUGACCCAAAUCUACAUGGCCCCUGGAUUGGACUGCGGCCGAUCAGGCUGUUGGUGAGGUAAUGGCCCACCAAACCUGUAACCGGUACGGGCUCUGAGAGGAGGAGCCCGGAGAUGGGCACUGAGACAAGGGCCCAGGCCCUAUGGGGCGCAGCAGGCGCGAAACCUCUGCAAUAGGCGAAAGCUUGACAGGGUUACUCUGAGUGAUUUCCGUUAAGGAGAUCUUUUGGCACCUCUAAAAAUGGUGCAGAAUAAGGGGUGGGCAAGUCUGGUGUCAGCCGCCGCGGUAAUACCAGCACCCCGAGUGGUCGGGACGUUUAUUGGGCCUAAAGCAUCCGUAGCCGGUUCUACAAGUCUUCCGUUAAAUCCACCUGCUUAACAGAUGGGCUGCGGAAGAUACUAUAGAGCUAGGAGGCGGGAGAGGCAAGCGGUACUCGAUGGGUAGGGGUAAAAUCCGUUGAUCCAUUGAAGACCACCAGUGGCGAAGGCGGCUUGCCAGAACGCGCUCGACGGUGAGGGAUGAAAGCUGGGGGGAGCAAACCGGAUUAGAUACCCGGGUAGUCCCAGCUGUAAACGAUGCAGACUCGGUGAUGAGUUGGCUUAUUGCUAACUCAGUGCCGCAGGGAAGCCGUUAAGUUUGCCGCCUGGGGAGUACGGUCGCAAGACUGAAACUUAA